CCUACGGGAGGCUGCAGUGAGGAAUAUUGGUCAAUGGCCGCAGGGCUGAACCAGCCAAGUCGCGUGAGGGAUGACGGUCCUAUGGAUUGUAAACCUCUUUUGUCAGGGAGCAAAGGGCGCCACGUGUGGCGCUUUGCGAGUACCUGAAGAAAAAGCAUCGGCUAACUCCGUGCCAGCAGCCGCGGUAAUACGGAGGAUGCGAGCGUUAUCCGGAUUUAUUGGGUUUAAAGGGUGCGCAGGCGGAAUGUCAAGUCAGCGGUAAAAUUUCGGGGCUCAACCCCGUCGUGCCGUUGAGACUGGCGUUCUUGAGUGCGCGAGAAGUAUGCGGAAUGCGUGGUGUAGCGGUGAAAUGCAUAGAUAUCACGCAGAACUCCGAUUGCGAAGGCAGCAUACCGGCGCUCAACUGACGCUCAUGCACGAAAGCGUGGGUAUCGAACAGGAUUAGAUACCCCUGUAGUC
rnacentral:rRNA from 1 species